GGAAACACCGCCGCCGCGCCCUUCCUGCUCUCCUUCACCUCCGACAGAACUGUGCUUCAGGGUCUCCUCCGCAUGUUCGGCUCCGGCCUCGCUGGCCUCUUUGCACUGGUCCCCCGCUGCUCCCGUCACAGCCUCUUCCUCCACCACCUCUGUCCAUCUCAACAAGUCUGCCACAUCCCCUCUCCCUUCCAAGUCACGUGAUUGGGCUAUCUGCGCGCACACUCAGGCCUCCCCAAAUCGACGAGAUAUUGGUUGAUUUUUCUUCAUUUUUUAAAAAUACGGGGCGUUCGUUUGGACUGGUGGGUUAAAUUUUGGUUAUGUAACCUACAUGAGCAAAGCUAGAUCUGUGGUAGGCGACCGAGUUGGUGUGGCUGGUUGGCGGAGGAGUGCUGAGGGGUGGAGGUGAGACACAACAUCCAUGAUGGCGACAAGCACAACGGCCUCGAUGCGAGAUGACAGUCCCUGUUCUGGUGGGUCGCCGUUUAAGUUGAGUGGGUACUCAUCAGCAGUGACGCUACGCAUCAAAUGCAUGUGAGGUUGUCCACGACAACCAGCGGAGCCAAGGAGGAUAUGGUAUUUCUAACUCAUCUUCCAUAUGCACCUUCAUAUUACCUCUUGACACUUGCCUGUUUACUGAUAAAGUCUGGCGGAGCAAAUAUUCACUCCUUUCACCAUGAAGUAUGGACGUCACUAAGUCUGAAUAUUGAAGACGUAUAUCUGUUGGUCUUGAGUUUUGCAGGUAAUAGAUUUGAGCUGUGUAAAAUUGAUGGUGCCUUUUUACUCUUCUGCUUCUUCCUUGCCAUUAUACAGUACUCCGUGUAAGUUUUUUUUUUUGUU